rnacentral:tRNA from 1 species
GCAGAUGGCGUUCUGGUGACGCCCUCGGACUUCAAAUCCGGUGGCGGGUCGGUCGGUCCCGGCCCGCGGUGGGUUCGAUUCCCACAUGCCCC